rnacentral:lncRNA from 1 species
CCUCAUCUACCAAACUUACUCAACACAAGAGAUGUAAUAAAGAAAGAAUAUAAAGCAAGAAAAAAUCCGGCAGCACCUCCUUUGAAAACUAGCAUAACAAGGAGGGGAAAACAUGACGCACAUACAAGAUAUAAAGACAUAUAAUUCACAUAGUAGAAACUGUAAUGCAAGAGUGGUAAAACUUAAUUAUGACCCAACUGAAGUAAAACGAAUGGGAUAAGAACUCAGUCCACCCCAAAAUAACCGCUCAACCAAGAAUAAAGCAAUUCACUAGACUUGUCCAACUUUGAUUAACAACAUUAAUAAAUGGUGGUUCCUUUAUUAAAGGUGUAGUGGCCGUGCUGCUACAUCCCUCUAUUCCCCAAAGCAGAAAUUAGGUGCCUGCAUCAAACAAUGCAAGAUGUGAGAUAACACAUCUCAGCAAGUAAACAUAACAACAGCAAAUAGGACACUGUAAAUCAACUGUGCUUACACAACCACGUGUUCAGGACUUCUUUCUUUUCUUCUGAACAGUAAAUUGCAGCAAGUAUACGAGUAACUAAAAAAACUCAACACCAAGUAGAAUCACCAUGCACAAGUCCAAAUUAUCCACAUCCACAUAAUAGAUUCAACACCUCUCCCAUGAAUGCACAUGGCUACAAAUGCAAUAAUGACUUCUGCCUCCAUAUCUCUAAGGAUAUGAAGCUGCACCAUACCCCUUCUCGGGCAACAUAUGAUGCUCAAUGUACCGGUACGGUCAGACCAUAAGAUCGCGACGAAACUUCAAUGCACUGGAUGAUGAGUGCAUUAUGCAUGACAACAUCAUAAGUUCUCCCCAAAUAAAAAGGUGCUAGGCAUUUACUUCCACCCAUUCCACAUAAUUACCACUUGAGUAACAUAAUCAAACCUCAAACUCAACUUAUGAAAUCCAUGAAACAUGAACAUGUUCAAAUGAUGGUACUCAAAAGAAAAUAUGAAUUUGAGCAUGAUAGCACAACAUGAACAAGUAUAAGACUCCUCAUCUGACAGACGGAAUAACCAUCACAGUUUUACUUGCCUUUACCGAAGUUCGGGCAAAAUCCCUAAGAACGAUCCGGAAGUCCACCACCUGUUUUUGACACCCAACUUAGUGCACCAAAUUCACAUAAAAAAAACUCAAAGACAACACCGCACCUACGCGCAAUCCCAAACCCCGCCGCGGUAACAAUUCUCCCCUCACUAACCAAACUGCAGCGGCGCUGCUUAACAAUUCCAUAACUUAAAAUUUAGGACAACAGUGAUGAUAAACAAAAACUUCAGAGACAACUACAUAAAAUGCCCCACAAGUUUUGUAUACAACUCAUGAUUAAAUUCUAACAUCUACUUACCUCUAAACGGUCCACAAAAUAAACCCUGCAAUCUGUUUUUUCUGAUUUGGGCAGCGACAUACGCGGAUUCAAACAGCGAUAACUUUUAAAAUAUAAUUCCGAUUUGAGCGCAUAAGUACUUGUUGGAAAGAUAAGAAAAAGCCCUACAUGAUUCUCAUACUGAUUAACACUAAUUACUCCCGAAAAAUCCCCAGAAACUGCUAACACUGCUGCUGUUCAUCACUCUGAAAAAUCUGUUUUUUGGACAGCCACAUACCCGGAUUCAAACGAUGAUAACUUUUAAUUUAUAACUCCAAAUUGAGCGCAUAAAUACUCGUUGGAAAGAUAAAACAAAGUUCUACAAGAUCCCCAAAUUGAUCCCCAUUAAAUCUUCACGAAAAAAAAACUAAAAACUGCUGGAACUACCGCUGUUCAUCCACCACGCAAAAUUCUGGACAGCCCCCCUCUAUCUAAUCGCAAACGCAACAUCUAAUCAAUUGAAUCGCAGCGCAAAUGAACAAGGGAUGAACACAAAAGAAAAAUCACCUUGGGUUCUCCACCUUUCCUUCCUCCCUUCUUCCCUCCACCAAAACGAUUGGAGAUUCGCACCAAGAGACGAUGAUCCGAGCGGCACGGAGUAGCACCUUGGGAGGAGGGGAUUGGGGGGGGGCUAGGGUUUUGGUGGCUGCAACAAUGGAGAGAGGAGGAGAUGGGCAGGGGGGCGGCGGCCAAGGGGAAAGGAGG